CCACGUUUUCCGCGCCGUAGCUAACGCAUUAAGUGCCCCGCCUGGGGAGUACGGCCGCAAGGCUAAAACUCAAAGGAAUUGACGGGGGCCCGCACAAGCGGCGGAGCAUGCUGAUUAAUUCGAUGCAACGCGAAGAACCUUACCAAGGCUUGACAUGCACUGGACGGCUGCAGAGAUGUGGCUUUCUUUGGACUGGUGCACAGGUGGUGCAUGGUUGUCGUCAGCUCGUGUCGUGAGAUGUUGGGUUAAGUCCCGCAACGAGCGCAACCCUCGUUCUAUGUUGCCAGCACGUGAUGGUGGGGACUCAUAGGAGACUGCCGGGGUCAACUCGGAGGAAGGUGGGGACGACGUCAAAUCAUCAUGCCCCUUAUGUCUUGGGCUUCAAGCAUGCUACAAU
rnacentral:rRNA from 1 species